UUUUAUUUUCCCUCUAAAACCUCUUCCGCAUAAACCUUGUAAAGCCGCUCAACUUUUGAACAAAAUACGCUAAAUUGCCAAAACAAUAUACGCUUGAAAACGGCACCAACCAUCUCCAUCUCCCUAUAUAAUCGCCGAUAAGUUUCUGUCUCUAUCUCUAGGAUUCGAUUGGGUGGGUUAGGGGUUGAUGAAAAAUUACUGUUUGUUGGAUCUAGGGUUUCGAUUAUCGAAGUAUAAUCACCGGCACCAUUUCUAUCGCUGCUAAGUCUUAUUCCCAGCCGUUGCAAUACUAUUUUUUUGGGUCGUUGCUGCUCAAAAAACAGAUUUUAAGAAUUCUUGUUAAUUGUUUUUGAUUGUAUGGAAUUAAGUAACGAGAAUACCUUAUCGUCCUUAAGCUUUACUGGCCAUUAUAUGUGGCAUAUGAAAUUUUAUAGUUUCAGUCGUUGUCCUAUGUUUUUUACAUGAUGUAUCAAAAAUAUAGUAAUAAAGUGUUUUUCUAUCAUUCUAUGCAUUUUGUGCAAUUUGUUGCUUUAUUCUUCACUAAUACUAAUCAUUUAAUUUAGGGAGAUGUAUUAGGAAAAAAUUUCCAUUCUUGAUAGUCCCUGUCGUCUAUUUGAUGUGCGAAGUUUUCAACUUUUUAUUCACUUUAAAGUUUAAACUACACUUUAGCAUAUCUGAUGUGCUUCUUAUCUAGCUUUUAGCAUUUUUGUGCUGAAAAACAGAGAUUGCAAUUUACAAUUGCUUGAACUUUUAGAUUCAUUUAAUUACAGUUUAGAAACCUCUCUGAGAUAUAUAUUGAUAAAUCAUUUUAUAAGAGAUUUUCUUAUAUUUCUGUGAUCCUACCUUUAAAUUUAGCAAUCUUCGAAUAGAAAAAUGUUGCACUCUACUAAAAUAAUAUGUUGGUUUUAGCUUUAUUGUUUGAAGGAAAGGCUCGUAGAUGAUCAGUUUGAGCAUAUCUACAACUUUUUUCAAUUUCGGGUUUCUGGAGAGUAUAUCUUCUAUUACAAAUAUGUGUCUGACUUUCUUCUCAUGAUAUCAUUUUUUUGAUAAGCUAAAGAUUUAAGCAUACAAGGAGGAAACCAGUCAAAUGUCUAAUUUUCUUUACUGUUGCUUAACAAAGUUAUUAAGGCAUCGCUUAACUCUCAGUCUUCUCUUUUUAUGUAGGUUUCGAGAUUGUUACUGGCAUCAUUCUCCUUCACCUUCUUAUCUUCAUCGUCAAAGUAUUCUUCUUACCAGGUACCCAAACACUUGAUCCUAAGCCGAUUUGUGAUUUGUGAUGUCCAACUAUGACAGUUUGUGAUUUGUAGAGAUAAUUGUUUUUGUGUGUUUGCUAUGUUGUGAUUUGUGAUAUUUGAAUGCUGUUAAAUUGGCGGGCAAUUUAUUGAAUUGAUUCCUAUGUUUUCCCUAAUGUUAUAUGUUCACUUUCGAUUGUUAUAGGCUAUUCAUAGCAGACUAUACAUAAAGAAAAUCCUGUUAAUUUAAGUGUAAAGUAAUUCUAUUUGAAUUGUCGAUUUAGGUGGACUAAAAGAUGGAUUGUAAACCAGAAGCUUAUGUUGCACAACGCACACAUCUUCUUGUUGAUGACAAUCAUGACUUUCUAGGGACUAUUUUCUUAGUUGAGUGCUGCUUCUAUCUGUUGUUCGUGAACCAAACAAAGCACAAGCAAACACUAAAAGGUUAGGGAAUAUAGAGAAUACCAACCUAACUAAGAGAGGAUUUGUUACCUGUAGAAGAGUGCUUUUUAAAUCAACUGAUGAGAAUUCUUCGUGUGGAAUUAAAGUUGUUUGACAUUGGUUUAUAGGAAAUAAAACUGAAGGGGGUUCAAAAAUGAGACUAAUUUGGUGAAACCAAAGACGAUCCAUGACACUUAACAAACCUAUGCUAUAUUUUUCUGCCAUGGUUAUGCAAAGAAUGAAGUGAGGAACUAAUGCAUAAGAAUGAAGGCGGGCAGAGGGUAUCUUUUAUUGGAAUAAAUAUUUGUACUAUACAACUGGAACAUAAGAGUGAAGGAGAGUUUUCCAUGUUUGUCUUCUCUAGAGUGUACAAUAGACCUUCUGGAAUUUAAAUUGCUAAACAUUUCUAUUUACUAUCUAAAACAGUAUGUUCAUAUACUAUGAUGACCUGUUUCAAGUUUAAUGUUCUUAAAUCAUUCCAAAUUCGUCAAACUCCUGGCUCACAAAAUAUCAUCACUUUAUCUCAUGACUUGUUUGAAGUUUAUUUUGAAUCAUUCCUAAUUCAUCACACUCCUCUCACAAAGACAUCAUCAGUUUAUCUCUUCAUUAAAUCUGGUUGUUGCCUUGUGAGUGUCACUAAACAUUUUCCCAUGUAUAUGUAUUAGCUUGUACAACUGAGAUGUUAGCUCUUUCAGUGUGGAAUCAAGCAAAUACUAGCCUUUGUUGACUUCUGUCUCGGUAAUUUCUUUUUAUUGGGCGUAUAUUUCAUCUUUUGACAUAAUUAUUUUGUAAUUUCAGGUCACACAGUCUAAUGUUCGAUAAUUUAGCGGGUGAAAGAUUUCAAAAUGACGAAAAGUUGUGGAAAUCAUUUGAAGACCAUCAUUCGUUUGGAUUAGUUAUAUAAUGAUAUUAGUUAUUUAGUUCAAACAAUAUAAGUUUAUUUUUUAAGUUACUGUGACAUUAAUAUCUUUUAUUAGUACUUCCUUUUGUUAAGAUUUAAUGAGAUAUAUUAUAUUUUUUGAAUUAAUAUUAAAUAUUUUAUUAUUUGGAUCA
rnacentral:lncRNA from 1 species